UACAGAGGCCCCAAGCGUUACUGAGAAUCACUGGGUUAAAGGGUGCGUAGGCGGUGCGGAAAGUUGGGUGUGAAAUCCCUCGGCUCAACCGAGGAACUGCGCUCAAAACUACCGUACUUGAGGAAGAUAGAGGUGAGCGGAACUUACGGUGGAGCGGGUGAAAUGCGUUGAUAUCGUAAGGAACACCCGAUGGCGCAAAGCGGGCUACACGUGGGUCUUUUCGUGUACGCUGAUGCACGAAAGCUAGGGGAGCAAACGGG
rnacentral:rRNA from 1 species